UACCAACCCCCUGUGACCCGUUCCGGCCCAAUUCCCUUAACUCUUAACUUCUUUUUCUUCAAACCAAGGGAAGAAACAUAGUAGUAGUACUACGACAACACCAACCAAACGUACAACCUUAUCAAUAAUUCAACAACCUGAAAUAUCGAUAAUCCCAAUAAUUUAAACGUUGAUAGCUUUCAGCAUUAAUGUUUUCACCCAUAAACGAUGAUGAUAACCCAUCCACAACCUCAGCCAGCAACCAAAUCACCCCCAAAAACCCAUAUUCCGUGAAACCAGAACCCAUUGACCCAUUUUUAGCCAAGGAAAAAACCAAACGCACUCUUUCCCUUUCAGUUCGCAUGGAUAGCGUGACCUCCACGUGAGUUCAUUCGUCGAAGGACCUCGAGUCUUCUAGAAUGAGUCAAUGUGUCUCCCCCAAUGGCCCAAUUCUACAAAUUUCGGGUUCAUUGGUAUAGAUUCACACACUCGAUUGUUUCUUAUUGGUUCGCGAAGAGAACUCCACUUUAUAGGUUGAAAAAUUUUUAAACCCCUGGGAAGAAUCCAAAAAUGAGUACGAAAGGGGAAACCCGAUGUUAUCCUUUUCAAGGGUGGAAAGAAACCCUAGCAUGAUGGAUUUCUCUGUAAAGAGGUAGAGGUUAGAGGCUGUUAGGGGGAUUAUUUUUCAAUCGGAGAGAGCCCUAAAAGAAACCUUAGAAGUCUCUCUACAAAAUAGUUGAUCAAAAAAAAUGAGGAUUUCUUUUAUCUCGUUUCUCCUUUUCUUUCCCUUUUGAGUUGGUAGUUUUAAAAGUAAAGGUGGGUUUAAAAUAUUUUCAGAAAAGCUGAGGGUUGAAAAUAUUUAGUUUGAAAAUAUGGGGGGGUUUCAAAAUCUCUAAGAGGAAAAGAAAAGGGACACUCUGUUGGUGGUCGACGUCGCGAGAUUUCGAUAGCGACAAGUUUGCUAAUAGCUCGUUGUUCUAUUUGCUUCGCCAAAAGAGUUGAUCAAAUAUUAAUGGUCAUUACUUUCUUGCUUUGCAUAAACCCGCUUGAGAGUCCAAACGGACUUUUUCCCUUGCGUUUCGCAGUGGGCCAUGGAGGCCCAUCCUUUAGGAGACUUUGAAAAGCAAAUUGCAUGGCAUACAGAUACAAGAAGUCGAAAGAGGAAUAAUGGGUUAAAAUCCCAUACUUAAAGCGACGAUGAAGCCCGAGCCUCAUUUCUGUUUCUUUAUUUAAUGUCAUUAUCUACCUAUUGUUGUCAUUUUAUUAUUAUUUAUUUCCUCUUUUUUCUGUCAUUAUUCAUUCAUUUAGGCCUCGAAGCCGAAUUUGUAUUUAAUAUAGGUGAAGUGAGACUCGAGCUAAAGCCUCGCAAACAAAGAAUUAGGGUAGGUGAAAAUGGGUCGAAAACCAAACUAGAUUAGGACAGGGUCGAUGGUUUGGGCUUAAAAUCCCAAAUCACCACUUCCCCGCUUUUCCCCUUUUCCUUUCAUUUACUUGUUUACUUAUCUCUUUGCGAACCUA